rnacentral:rRNA from 1 species
GACGUAGGAGGCGAGCGUUAUCCGGAUUUACUGGGCGUAAAGCGCAUGUAGGCGGUUGGAGAAGUCCGUUGUUAAAGCCCCUGGCUCAACUGGGGGAGGUCAAUGGAGACUCUUCGACUUGAGGGCAACAGAGGCACAUGGAACUCCCGGUGUAGCGGUGGAAUGCGUAGAGAUCGGGAAGAACACCCGUGGCGAAGGCGGUGUGCUGGGUUGCGACUGACGCUGAGGCGCGAAAGCCAGGGGAGCAAACGGG